AGUGCGGCCAUCUUCCCUCCGUGUUCUGCAGGAAGCAAGUCUGCGCUUAAGCCUGAAGUUCCACAGAGUCGCUUAAUGGGUAGAAAAUGCUGCAGCGCAGAGGUGGUAGAUGUUAGCAUCCAAAAGCAAGAAGAGCCAUGAACACUUGGACUCAAGGAGUUUGGCAUGCCUACCCAGCGGCUGCUAAGAUCUGCUAAGGGAAGUGGAAAAGAAGGUUUGAAGAAAGGAUACCUUCUCAGUAUGAGUCCUUUGGGGAUUUGGUUAGGCCAGUCUGCAAUACUUGCUGGGAGCUACUGUUGGCAAUAAGAAGACUACCUUGGCUCUCCACAUUCCUGCAGACUUACUCAAUGAUUCGGGGGAAAUCUCACUGUUGGAAAAUGCUCUCCUGAACAGGAGGCCAUCCUAGGCUUCUGGACCAAACCUAGACUGCCGGGAACAAAGGUAGCUGCAGCCCUGCCUCUUACCUGGCCAUAGUAUCGAAUUUAUUUCCUCACCUGUCAGCCAGGAACGGUAACAGGGUAAGAGACAGGGAAGAGAGGAAGCUCGCAAUGCACAAAGGGAACUCACCCCUUGGUGGUGCGUGUCUAUAGCCCAUCUACUCGGGAACCCAAGGCAAGAGGAUGGAGUGUUCAAGGUCAGCUGCUGAUGCAGAGUUAGAUCCUGCUACAAAGUAAAAGAUCCUUGUGUUGGACACCACGUAACAACCAGAUUUUAGGCAGAAGUAACAGACUUGAGAUCACCAAAUUAUAGACAGAAGCGACAGAUUGAAGACUAGAUGGCUUACUCAAAGAGCGUUUCCCUAAGAGAGCGCUGAGAAAACUGU